GGCGGCGUAGCUCAGCGGUUAGAGCAGGGUCUUCAUAAGGCCAAGGUCAGUGGUCCGACUCCACUCGCCGCUA
rnacentral:tRNA from 1 species